ACUGCACCAAGCCUUAAGAUGCAGGAGAUAGGACCUACUUGCCGGACCAUUUUGACUAACAGAAACACAUUAGAUGGGGUUUGCUGCCGUCCAAGAAACAAAGUGGGAGUGGGGCACUUCCCUCGCUCCUCUCCGAGCUGCUGGGGCAAGUGUUCCCUCUUCACACUGAAGACUCCCAACUUCAAGUCAUCCGCAUUCUUCACUCCGCCUGGGUGCACAACAGCCAGGAGGCAUCUGAACAGGGUGGCGGUGCACUGGGGGAGCUGUGUGAAGGACCAGGACUGGAAGGAGAAAGGUGCUGCAGGCUUCCCUUGAGAAAACGGUGAGAAGUAACAACAUCUGCCCCCAGAGGGUGCUAGAGUAACACUUGUAACACAUCAUUCAAGGUACAAGUACCUGGAAGAUAGAAUUGCUAAAUCUUUCUCCACUGAUCUGGCUUCACUGAAAUGGUUUUUAACAGAACUGGCAACUUUUAACCUGCUUUGUAAAGGACUCUGAUCCUUUCCCUUCUUUCCGCUUUGUGCCUUUGCUAGCCCUCCCCUAGGUUUGUUUUAGCAUU